ACGACAUCACUGCUCUAGAGCGACUUUAGAAACCUAUCCUAAGUGACAAGUUUAACAUCACUGGGUUGCAUAGCGAUUUAGGAGUGGGAGUAAUUUGAGAUACUUCUCUAUAAGUUCAUUGGUAUGUAACCAAAUACGGCAAUCGAAUCAUAUCAUCCAUAUUAUCCAGGAUCUUGAGGUCAUCACCCCAUACCAAACACCAAGUAUGGGCUGUUUGUUGGUGGUUGGCUAAUUCUCUACGGCUUGGCCGACGUAGUCGAGGCGGUGAGAAAAGUGGCCGUUUCUACUGUAUCAUCUAUAUAUAUAUAAAUAUAACAGUUAUAACAAUGAUUAUUAAAUGUUAAAAAUUUAAUAUACUAUUUUUUGAGCCAAAUAACGGUCAUUUUAACUGUUAUAAUCUGGUUUCCAUAGAAAUCUAGUGGUAUUACGUGCUAUUUAGACGCUUCUCCGUCUAAUCCAUCUUAGAAAUCCAUCAAGUGGUAUAGCGGUAUAACUGUUAUAAUCUGUUAUAAUCGCUUCUCCGUCCUCACCUCCCAACCCGGUCCUCUCUCUCUCUCUCUGCGCGCGCGUUUUCUUUUCUGAUUUCUUGUUUUCAUGCAUUUUUGGAUCCUCAGAAGUCAAGAAGCGGAUUGCUGAUGCCAUGAAGGACAAGCAGGAACCAAGCACUCCCAUAUUAUUCCUGAGACUGGAAGUUGGUGUCAACUGGGAUAUUUAGAAGACAACAGGAACAACCUUUGUGCCCUUAAGCCUCUCUGAAUCAUUUGCACAAGGUCUUUUCUGCAUCAGAGUCAGAGUUUUCUUGUAACUGUAAUACUCACCUUAUCCUAUCUAUAUCUGGUUGACCAUGCAAAGAUGAUCCAACAAUCAAUCCAUUGUAUUUGGACUUUACAUUUUCUUCCUGGCAAGGAUGUGAUAAUCAGCUGAAAGCAUGUCAUCAUAGAUUCUGAUGUUACCAAUAACAAUAGGGAAGAGAUGGCCAUUGAUGAGGCUGAGUGUGAGUCAAGUGAGUUUGCAGGAAAAAUGCUUACUGAGCAGAAAAUGCAAGAGCAGCAAUUGGAGAUGUUAAAGCAAAGCCAGAAGUAUAAUCCAGAGGACCGAUCUGCAAGCAUUGAAAAUCUGCACGAGCAAUUGGAGGGGGCUAAUUUUGGUAGCAGUGCUGCAAUUCUUACACCAGAUCUAAUUCAAGAGGUGGUUAGGAGAACCUCACCCUCUGUCGAGGCGUCUGAAGAAUAAAUGAUUCAGUCGUGGUUAUCUACUUCCACAGUGUUACCUGCAGGCUUUGAUUCGAUGUUGGGAGGAUACUGGUCAGGACACCAACCUCCAAGAACGUGCACCCACCAGCCGUAGACGCAUGGGCCCUGCAUCGGUGCAUGAUGUAAAGAAUCUCUCUGAAUUCUUCCACAAAAUUCCUGAAUGUUUUUCGAGGUUUUGAAGGAAGUGCCGAGACUUGAAAAGAAUCAGGUAAUUUUUUUUUUACCAAGUAUCUUAUAGAUAUUAUUAUCACUGUAAACAUAUGUCUCGAAAAGAAUCAAGUUUUUAUAAUUGUCAUAUGAUAUCAUAAUAAGAUAUGGUGAUAAUAACUGUGAGAACAUUUAUCAGUUUUCUUCA